UACCUAUGGUGUGGGCAUUGUUGCUGAAGAUCUUUAUAUCUCUCCCAUGCUUCGUAAAGAGUCUCAUCUUCUUUCAUCCAGAAGUCACUUCUCAUCUUUGAGGUC
rnacentral:snoRNA from 1 species